CUUGAAUUGGCUUGGCUGGGGAAUAAGUGAGCCCACAUAGGGGAAGAUGGCACACAGUGUGCUCGACAAACGGUGCUAGGUCCAUGCCCAGGAUCCAAGUCUGAGAACCCUGGGGCCUCUGAAGCCGAGUGUGUGAACUUCACCACUACACUACCAGCUGAGCAAUCCAAUCGCCAACACUCCUGCUGCCACGGAAGACUCGAGGAAAUUCCUGCAGAAGGGCUCCAGGCAUACACAGCGGAGUCUAAAACUAGACCGUCAUGAAACUCACGGCUUUCAUCAACUGACCAACCAAAUUCACUUUCUAAGCAUGAAUGUGAUUGGAGGUUAAUAGAGUCCAGCAUAAUCCAAUGCUCAGAAUUAAA
rnacentral:lncRNA from 1 species